ACCAGAAGUCGUUGUUGCCAACCGUAAGGGGGCAGGCGCCGAAGGUGGGGUUGGUGAUUGGGGUGAAGUCGUAACAAGGUAGCCGUAGGUGAACCUGCAGAAGGAUCA
rnacentral:rRNA from 1 species